UACAGAGGUGGCAAGCGUUGUUCGGAAUCAUUGGGCGUAAAGGGCGUGUAGGCGGUUUGUUAAGUCAUGUGUGAAAUCCCUCGGCUUAACCGGGGAACUGCGUCUGAUACUGGAUGGCUUGAAUCCGGGAGAGGGAUGCGGAAUUCCAGGUGUAGCGGUGAAAUGCGUAGAUAUCUGGAGGAACACCGGUGGCGAAGGCGGCAUCCUGGACCGGCAUUGACGCUGAGGAGCGAAAGCCAGGGGAGCAAACGGG
rnacentral:rRNA from 1 species